rnacentral:lncRNA from 1 species
GCCUUCGGCAAGACCAGGUAGCGGGCGCGUGCACGUAAAGGGGCCUCGGGCGCGCGCACGUCCAUCACCAGCUGCUUCCCGGCGCCCCUCCUCGCCCUCUAAUUUAGAUCGGUGGCGGCAGGGAGACAUGAGACAUCGAUCAACAUAUCUAAGAUGAACGAUGGAUUGGUCCGGAAAGAUGGAGUCUCACCCUGUCGCCCAGG